CAUUACCGAGUGCGGGCCCUCGCGGCCCAACCUCCCACCCUUGUCUCUAUACUGGCGGGCCCACCGGGGCCACCUGGUCGCCGGGGGACGCACGUCCCCGGGCCCGCGCCCGCCGAAGCGCUCUGUGAACCCUGAUGAAGAUGGGCUGUCUGAGUACUAUGAAAAUUGUCAAAACUUUCAACAAUGGAUCUCUUGGUUCCGGCAUCGAUGAAGAACGCAGCGAAAUGCGAUAAGUAAUGUGAAUUGCAGAAUUCCGUGAAUCAUCGAAUCUUUGAACGCACAUUGCGCCCCCUGGCAUUCCGGGGGGCAUGCCUGUCCGAGCGUCAUUUCUGCCCUCAAGCACGGCUUGUGUGUUGGGUGUGGUCCCCCCGGGGACCUGCCCGAAAGGCAGCGGCGACGUCCGUCUGGUCCUCGAGCGUAUGGGGCUCUGUCACUCGCUCGGGAAGGACCUGCGGGGGUUGGUCACCACCAUGUUUUUACCACGGUUGACCUCGGAUCAGGUAGGAGUUACCCGCUGAA
rnacentral:rRNA from 1 species